rnacentral:rRNA from 1 species
ACCGGCGGCUCGAGUGGUGGCCACUAUUACUGGGCUUAAAGCGUUCGUAGCUGGCUUGGUAAGUCUCUGGGGAAAUCUUCCGGCUCAACCGGAAGGCGGCUCAGGGAUACUGGGAGGCUAGGGGGCGGGAGAGGUGAGCGGAAUUCCGGGUGUAGGAGUGAAAUCCGGUGAUACGAGGGGGAACACCAGUGGCGAAGGCGGCCAACUGGACGAGCACUGACGGUGAGGAGCGAAAGCGGGGGGAGCAAACAG